rnacentral:ncRNA from 1 species
GAAAGCCGGAUGAGUUGGAAACUCUCAUGUCCGGUUUGGAGAGAGGGAUGGAGAAACACAGCAGCCAAAAGGCUGUAAGGUGCGCUCUGUCCCUACUCUAC